rnacentral:misc_RNA from 1 species
AAGUCGUAACAAGGUUUCCGUAGGUGAACCUGCGGAAGGAUCAUUAACGAACUUGAAAUCGGGAGUCUGUUGCUGGUGCGGAAACGUACAUCGUGCACGGCUUCUGUGUUCAAUUCAACCCCUGUGCACCUCAUCGAAGCCGGUAGUCCCUUUAUCUUCUUCGUUUUGCCGGUCGCGUGCGGUGCGGAUCGCGAGUAGCGAGUAAGGCGAACGCAACUCCGGUUGUCAGUAGCUUGAAACCGAAAGUGGUCUGCCUUCACGUUCGGCCGGCGAGAGGGGGGAGAGGUCGAGGGUCGAAAGCUUUGACUUGCCAUUAAACGCUUUGUAUGUCUUGUGGAAUGUAUUAGCUCCUUCGUGGGCGAAAUAAAUACAACUUUCAACAACGGAUCUCUUGGCUCUC